UACGAAGGGGGCUAGCGUUGCUCGGAUUUACUGGGCGUAAAGGGCGCGUAGGCGGACAGUUAAGUCGGGGGUGAAAGCCCGGGGCUCAACCUCGGAAUUGCCUUCGAUACUGGCUGUCUUGAGUGUGAGAGAGGUGAGUGGAAUUCCGAGUGUAGAGGUGAAAUUCGUAGAUAUUCGGAAGAACACCAGUGGCGAAGGCGGCUCACUGGACUGGUAUUGACGCUGAGGUGCGAAAGCGUGGGGAGCAAACAGG
rnacentral:rRNA from 1 species